UAAGGAAUAUUGGGCAAUGGACGCAAGUCUGACCCAGCCAUGCCGCGUGCAGGAUGACGGCCCUAUGGGUUGUAAACUGCUUUUGUACGGGAGAACCCCUUCGAUUCUUCGGAGGCUGACGGUACUGUACGAAUAAGCAUCGGCUAACUCCGUGCCAGCAGCCGCGGUAAUACGGAGGAUGCAAGCGUUAUCCGGAUUUAUUGGGUUUAAAGGGUGCGCAGGCGGAAUGGUAAGUCAGUGGUGAAAUCUCCCGGCUCAACCGGGAAACUGCCGUUGAUACUGCCGUUCUAGAGUACAGUUGGGGUGGGCGGAAUGUGUCAUGUAGCGGUGAAAUGCUUAGAUAUGACACAGAACACCGAUCGCGAAGGCAGCUCACCAAGUUGUAACUGACGCUCAUGCACGAAAGCGUGGGGAUCAAACAG
rnacentral:rRNA from 1 species